GGAGAGUUUUCUCCCAAAAUUAAACCAAGUAUCUUUACUACAAUCAAGUAAUAGAAUAAAACAGAGGGAGAUUCUCAAUUUAUAAAGAAUUGACUCAAAAAGAUGGUAAAAAGGGAUUAACCAAAAAAUUACCCAAGAUUAACAUAAUCCUACAACAUCAGGUUUUAUAUUUUAUGAUUUAUUUUGGAUCUUAUGCCUCACCCCAAACAAAAGUAAAGUAAGGAAAAAGAAUAAACUCACCCUGUGGUGUUGUUAUCAAAGAGUUAGCCAGCUUGCAAUUUUCUCUUUGGCCAAUGCAACCACUCACAGUUAGCCCUAUUUUGGAAUAACCACCGCUUGAUCCUUUUUUGUUAUUUCUUGUAAAUUGAUUGAACUUCUUAGGUAUCUUUUUUGUUAUCUAAUCAAUUCCUCCUACGAAUUGGGAACCCUACUGGGAAAAGAGAAAAUUUAGUAUAGAUACAUGACAAAACUGUUUUGGCCGACAUAAUUCAGCCUCUUCUUGACAAAGUAAAGUUUUUCCUACGAUCCAAAUUUCUAUCAAUUUUAUCCACAACUGGCAGCCAAAAAGAAGACUUUUUUUGGAUUACCACCAAGGGACAUCCCCAGAUACUCAAAUGGCCAAACGCCAGCAGCAUAAACCCACUCUAGCGCCAAGAGACAUUACGAGAGAUUAAUCUUCAAAUUGGACAUCACCUCAAAUCCAAGUACCACAUUCUUCAAGUUAUUAAGCAUAGAAUAGUCAAGGGUAGAGAAAAGCAACGUGUCGUCAGGACAGACAGGAAAGGAGCAAGCGGAUGGCCUUGCCUUAACUCCCUAGUAGCACAAAUAUGACCGCUCAGUCGACCAUUAAUCAAUAAAGAGAAAAGGUACUGGUAACACAAGCUUUAAUCCAACCAAUCCAACAAGUUCCAAUGCCUUUUUGCUUUAGCGCCUCAAGUAGACAAUCUCAAUCAACCAUAUUGUAAGUCAUCUCAAAAUCAAUUUUGAAGACCCACUCAUCCUUCUUGUUAAUGAAAAAAUCAUCAAGUAAUUCAUUGGCAACCAAAAUUGGGUCGAGAAUUUUCCAACAUGCAAUCAAGGCCAAUAGGCUACCAUUAAUAGUUUCAUGGAGAACCUUCUUAAGUCUCUUAGCUAAGACUUUAGCUAUAAGCUUAUAUAGAAUGGUGAUCAAAUUUAUUGGUCUGAAAUCAACAACUUUGGUAACACGAGCUUUAUUUGGUUUCAUUGAUACAACUGUUCCGAAUGUUGCUUUCAGAAAGUCAUGGAACACCCUAAGCACCUCAUCUUUAAUGAUGUUCCAUACCUUGUAAAAGGUAAAUUGGACCUAAGUCGUGGGUGUUAUCGCCGGCUUUCUUGAGGUUAGGAGCCCAUGCCAAAUCCUGAUCCACGUCAUUAAAGCAAUAAAGAAACCUAAAAUGUAAGUUGGAACCAACUCUGGACAACAAUGCUGACUUGUUAAGGUUUUACUAAGCUACCUUCCAAGGUCCUGAGUUCAAGCCCUCAAGUUGAUAACAGCUUGAAACCCCUUGCCUCUUGAAGCUAACCUUGAGGCCUCCAAGCCUCCCAAGGAUCAGAGGGGACAGACCUUGAGCAAGGAGUGGGACCUCAAUACCUAGAUUAAAAUAAAUUAAAUUUAAUAAAAAUUUCAAGUUUUAAUAGAAAAUCACAACACUCGUAGCAUAUCCAGUUUCUUCCAAUACCGUAAGUGGCACAACGUGAAUUCGUACAUUCAUAACUAGUAAAUGACAAAAGUCGCUACUUUGUUUCUCCUUUCUUUUCUUUUCUUUUUGCUUUUGACGUCCAUGACUAUAAACACACACA